GAUGAACGCUGGCGGCGUGCCUAAUACAUGCCAGUCGAGCGAACAGAUGAGGAGCUUGCUCCUCUGACGUUAGCGGCGGACGGGUGAGUAACACGUGGAUAACCUACCUAUAAGACUGGGAUAACUUCGGGAAACCGGAGCUAAUACCGGAUAAUAUAUUGAACCGCAUGGUUCAAUAGUGAAAGACGGUUUUGCUGUCACUUAUAGAUGGAUCCGCGCCGCAUUAGCUAGUUGGUAAGGUAACGGCUUACCAAGGCAACGAUGCGUAGCCGACCUGAGAGGGUGAUCGGCCACACUGGAACUGAGACACGGUCCAGACUCCUACGGGAGGCAGCAGUAGGGAAUCUUCCGCAAUGGGCGAAAGCCUGACGGAGCAACGCCGCGUGAGUGAUGAAGGUCUUCGGAUCGUAAAACUCUGUUAUUAGGGACGAACAAAUGUGUAAGUAACUAUGCACGUCUUGACGGUACCUAAUCAGAAAGCCACGGCUAACUACGUG
rnacentral:rRNA from 1 species